UGAACAGGAUCAGCAAUACAAUUGGCAGUCAGCAGAAUGAGAAGCCAUACAAUUGUAAUCGGCAGGAUACCCAGCAGUUCAACUUUGUGGGCAAAUUGCUCGGACCGAGAGGAAACUCUUUGAAGAGGCUACAGGAAGAAACAGGUGCUAAAAUGUCUAUCCUGGGCAAAGGAUCAAUGAGAGAUAAAGCAAAGGAAGAAGAAUUAAGAAAAAGUGGGGAAGCCAAGUAUGCCCACUUGAGUGACGAACUUCAUGUAUUAAUUGAAGUGUUUGCUCCACCGGGGGAGGCUUAUUCACGUAUGAGUCACGCAUUGGAAGAGAUUAAAAAAUUUCUGG